GACGAAGCAUCUGGAAAGAUGCAUCAAAGAAGGUAAUAAUCCUGUAGUCGAAAACAUAUUCUCUCUUGAGUGGAUCCUGAGUACGACGGAGCACGUGAAAUUCCGUCGGAAUCUGGGAGGACCAUCUCCCAACCCUAAAUACUCCCUAGUGACCGAUAGUGAACCAGUACCGUGAGGGAAAGGUGAAAAGCACCCCGGGAGGGGAGUGAAAUAGAACCUGAAACCGUGUGCCUACAACAAGUUCGAGCCCGUUAAUGGGUGAGAGCGUGCCUUUUGUAGAAUGAACCGGCGAGUUACGUUAUGAUGCGAGGUUAAGUUGAAGAGACGGAGCCGUAGGGAAACCGAGUCUGAAUAGGGCGACUAAGUGGCAGGCAGUAGACCCGAAACCCGGUGAGCUACUUAUGGCCAGGAUGAAGCGAGGGUAAUGCCUCGUGGAGGUCCGAACCCGUUAGGGCUGCAAAACUAUGGGAUGAGCUGUGAGUAGGGGUGAUAUGCCAAUCGAACUGGGAGAUAGCUGGUUCUCUCC
rnacentral:rRNA from 1 species